UUUAAUCAAUGAAGCACGCUCCACAGAAAGCGCGCGAAGGUGGCUCGUGAAACGGCGCGCGCCAUUUAUGAAACGCAAACACAAUAGGACGAUGUAUGAUUUUAAAAUGUUACAAAAGUUUUCAAAGCAAUAAAAUAAUAAACAAAUAUUGAUUUGUGAGAGAAUGUACGUCGUAUCAGUCGUUUUAACGCGUCGCGACUGUUAAAUUAGUCAAGAGACUGAUAUUUACCUCAGAGAAUCUCCCGCCGAUGGACAUCAUGAAGUAAACACGGUGUUUCGACUGAAACUACAGUUAAUCACGAAUCUGCAACUGGAUUUUGAAUAGCAACGCUGAGGCUUUGUUCUUGAAGAGCUGUCUGUCAGACCACACGCGACAGGAUUGACUUCAUAAACGCUCGGAGUCUCCGGUGUCCCACGGCCAGGACGAUGGGCGACAGCGCGAUGAAGAAACACUCACUGGAGAACCAAAAACAUGAACCAACUUGCUCUCAGCCAGAGCAUGAGCUCCCAUGGGACGCUUCCCACAGAAUCAUGGCCAUCCGUGAAGAUCAUUAGUUCAGGAAAUGACAUCAUCAUGGCAUAAUUAAAGUUUGGGUCUUACAUAGUAGGUCUUGUUGGUCCUGAAACAACCAGUCGGAUUUGUACACUAGAUUUGUGAACAUUCAGGUCAUCUAUAUGCUAGUGUCCCAAUAAAAGAAUUAACUUUAUUUUUAUUAGAUAUUUAAAGUCUCUGUCGAGAAAACGAACCACAACUAUUAAUGACAUCAUCUUGCACUGGGGGGCGUAUCCAUUUUUUUUAUCCGGUAAGUGCAACAACACAGAAAAUGCAAUCGUCAAGCCACUUUGUGGAUGCAAAUGUUGGUUGGUUGGUGUUUUAACACUUCCUUGGCUAUUUUUAUAUAAUGUUUAUAAAACUUGCUUUAGAUAAAAACAGGAUUCACUGAUUUUGUACUAAAGUGUUUGCAGAGUUAUAUAAUUUCCUAAGAGAACUUAAACCAUAAUAAUUUAAGAGAUAUUGGACUCUGGCAUGAGAAGCACAGCGAUGGAUCUUUAUUUGAAAAUAAGAACGUCCUAUAUGUAUACAUGAUCUGAU